CCCCGCCCGGCCGGCCGGCGCACGGGGAGGCAGCGGAGCGGCAGGGCACAGGGGGCGGUGCGCGCACAGGACUGACCACCAGCAGCGAAAAAGAAGGUACUUUUAUUGUCCACAGACUCUUAAAGCUAUGUAAAGGUUCUGUGAAAGCCAACAAAACCUCACAGGGGUGCAGUUAUAGGUACUUCAACAGGUAUGGAGGUAUUAGAUCCUAUUCAUAUGAAAAUAAAGCGAUGGUACCCAGCCACCUCUUUUGCUGUUCCCACCCACAGUAACACAUCACUGGGCACCUGCAAACACAAGCUCUCCUGGGUCUGUCUGCAAAGCGAGAGGGGGAAAACAGAAAACACCAAAGGAGACAAAGCUGAGGAAGUUGUAGAACUUGAUACUCAGGAAUAAGUAACCCUUGGAAUGAACAUAAGGAUGAUUUCAGCAACUAAAAUUCUUCAAAAGAUAUGCAUAGCUGGCUGAUUUUUCAAACUGAUACUGUUCAUGCUGACUUCCACUUUUUCUGCAGAUGAGGCAUUGCAAGUUGCCAUGAACUGUCAUUAGAUCAGACUGGGCAUAGUCCUUCCUUGGAUGGAUUUUACCUUUGCAGAGAAGCAACCAGUCCAAAAUCAGUUAUGAAUCUGAGUAUGUGAUGUGAAUUCAGUUAAAUUGACACAUUAACCAGACAGAUAGAAUGAUAUUGCAAUAAACUAACAUAAAUUAUUUUUUUGGAGAAAAUAAAAAUAGCACAUCUAUUUAUGAUGAUCAUCAUUACAAAACUUGUUUUUGCUCCAUGGCUGUGCACUAAUGUGUUUUUGAGAGUAAUAAUGAAGACAAUUAAAAAAACCAAGGAAAAAAAGCA